GAUGAAGAACGCAGCGAAAUGCGAUAAGUAAUGUGAAUUGCAGAAUUCAGUGAAUCAUCGAAUCUUUGAACGCACCUUGCACCCUUUGGCAUUCCGAAGGGUAUGCUCGUUUGAGUGUCAUUGUACUCUCACACUCUCCGAUCCUAUGGAUUCGGGGAGCGGUGGACUUGGGUGUUGCUGCCUUUCCUUGUGGCUCACCUCAAAUGUGUCAGUGCACCUCUUGGUUGGACAUAGUACGGCGUGAUAAGUGUCUUCGCCGGCACCUCGCAAGAGGGUGGCUGAUCGGGAGCUCUGUGCUUUCAAACCGUCUUCGGACAAUUUCUGACAACUUGACCUCAAAUCGAGUAGGACUACCCGCUGAACUUAAGCAUAUCAAUAAGCGGAGGA
rnacentral:misc_RNA from 1 species